GCCGGGGUGGCGGAGCGGACCAACGCGCGGGCCUUGAGAGCCCGUGGGCCACUCGCCCUCGUGGGUUCGAAUCCCACCCCCGGCG
rnacentral:tRNA from 1 species